rnacentral:rRNA from 1 species
GUCAAGUCAUCAUGCCCCUUAUGCCCAGGGCUACACACGUGCUACAUUGGCCGGUACAAAGGGCUGCGAUACCGCGAGGUGGAGCGAAUCCCAAAAAGCCGGUCUCGGUUCGGAUUGGAGGCUGAAACUCGCCUCCAUGAAGGCGGAGUUGCUAGUAACCGCAGGUCAGCCAUACUGCGGUGAAUACGUUCCCGGGCCUU